GUAUGCCUUUACCCGGCACAAGGAAGCUACCCCAUCGACAUCGACACUAAUCAACGAGGCUUCAAAACCGUGGAACGUCGCCAGUUCUAUCCUGCUUUGCCUGUGUUCAGCGCCUGUCUGGGCAUCGCCGUUCUCUCAAGUCAUCGUCACAACAACGCUGGCCACGGAAGGAUUUCCAGUUUUUCAAGAUAAAUCCGACGUACGUUUUGGCGUACUCGCGUACUGGCCGCAGUAUGCCUUUAUUCGGCACAAGGAAGCUACCCCAUCGACAUCGACACUAAUCAACGAGGCUUCAAAACCGUGGAACGUCGCCAGUUCUAUCCUGCUUUGCCUGUGUUCAGCGCCUGUCUGGGCAUCGCCGUUCUCUC